UAUAGCUGUUCCUAGAACUAAACUCUUCCAGACUGCAACGUUUAAUCCAUAAAAAUAUUUCACUAAAACUGUAGUACAUAGAAAUGGUGUAAGUUUGUAGCUUUUCUUUUUUCCAUAUUGCACUGCAGCCUUGAAACAUGAGACCGUCACAGAUCCAACCAGAGCUACUUAUGCUGCUGUCAACAAUCCAAGGAGGAGAAACGGUGGAGAAACCAGAACAGACGACCAAGUCACGUACGCGUCCAUUGAUAUCAGACCGACAGGGCAGGAAGUUUGUACAGAUCCCUUCAGACAAUAUUCAGAGGAACCAAUCUAUUCUCUUGUCAAUAAAUAAUCUGCAUGCCUUUUUCAAAUAAUACUUCAAGAAAACACCAGAAAUGAGUAAAUUCACAAAGUUACACUCAUCUUGUCUCCUAAGCUUAGAAAAUAAUGAAGAACAUAAUGACUGACAAUAAUGAAGACAGACAUUUAUAAAUGUUGAUUGUUUCAAAAUACAACUUCAUGCAGUAUUCAGUGGAACGUCCAAUGUUUGUAUUUGUGUAAUUUGAAGUUAUUUUUAUGAUCUGCUGAACAUAUUUUUUUUUUCAAUCUCAUUCAAGAGCAUUUAAAAAAGAAAGAAAAGCAGUUUAUAGUUGAUUUUCAUAUAUAUCAAUUCAAAGAAAAGUUUAAUUAUAGCAAGUAUAUGACUCUUAAGGUUUCAGCAGGUAUUGGUGUAUUUUUUUCUUCUUCUAUGGUGUCAUUGAAAAGUGGUUCCACUAAAUUGAAGGGAAACUCUUUUGUUUCCACGAAUGCGAGGCAAUAUUUUGGGAAGCGGGAUUCUUUGCUCUUAUAUUGACCUGCACAGAAUCGCUCACCAGAUGAAAAUUGGUUUCAGUUCUUUUUAAAAAAGUUCUCCACUAUUAGAUUUUUGUUCCACUUCCUGUGAUGAUGGAGAUCUUCCAUUAUUGUGGUUUUAGGAGAUGACCCCACUGUCAUGAGAUCAGUCCCCCAGAUAUUACAAUUGAUUAUGAAAAUAUUAUCAAAAGCAAAAUUUUAGCAGAAUUGUUGCAGAAUAUAUAACAUUUAUAUAUGUUAGAAAUACAUUCAAAUAUAAAACAAUAUUUGAAUUUUUAAAAAAUGUCUGUUUAAAAGUGUGAAAAUUAAGCGGAUAUAGAUCUAUAAUAGAUUUUCUUUUUGCAUUAUGAAAAUCAAUCUGUUCUCAGAUCAUAUAAAACCAAUCUGGAAAGGCGUACCUCAGGGCUCAUCUUUAGCACCUCUCCUUUCUCUGUCAGAGUUUCUCAUUCACUUCUCUGUCAUCUCCAGCUAAAUGCUGACAUCAGUCUGAUACUUUAUGUAUAUGAGAAAACAUCAGUUUAAACUAUUUGGAUUCAUUUUAAACUAUUUCAAAACUUGUUAUAUGGUGUGAAGUAGAGUCUUGAUUAAGCUCACCUUUUGUUCUGUUACUUUUAACUAUGGAAGAGGGCUGAAUAUUUACAGAAAGAAAAGAUAUAUAGGUUUAAGACUCAAUUACUGUGAAACUAUUUUUCAAUGUGAACUGCUAAACAAAGUUUACUCUGAAACUGAGACUGACAUUGUGGAAUCAUUUUAUUAAGUAGCCACUUUAACUAUCUGAAUUAAAGGAGGGAAAGACCCCCCCCCCACACACACACACACACACCCACACACACACACACACACACACACCCCUCCACACAUCUGCUCUCUCAGGUGAAAACCACCUGACGUUUCCUGUGACUGAAGCUUCGCUGGAUUCAUCACUCAAAGCUUCUCUUUAGUGACAUCUGGUGGCCAAGAAUGUGAUUAGCAGCUUCAGUCUGUAACUUAAAACAGCUGCAUGAUGAUUGUUCACUUUGUAAAAGUGGGUUGAAAGCUUCAGUUUAUUAAUCAUGUGUCAAAUCUUUCUAUUUGUGUUUGAACAUGAUAUUGUAAAAAAGUUUUUGUAUUUGUUAAAAUAAAAUCAUUUUGAUGAAUAAAUGCUCCUUGUUUGAAUCAUGAUGUUUUCUGUCUGCUUGUGACAAUUUACAUUUCACUGGAAUUGGACCAAAAUUAAUCUUUUACAAUAUAUUUUUUGCUUAUACUUAUUUCAUUCCUUGCUUGUUGAGUACUCAGCCUUUCUGAAAAUUAGAGUUGACGUUUCAGUCUUCCUUGUUACUUUUAAUCCUGAGACAGCUGUUAGCAUAGCACCAUCUGCUGGAAAUAAUAAAAUGUUACAAGCACAGAUUUAAAAUUAAUUAUUGAUUAAACCUUGCUGUCACUUCUUGUCAUUUAAUUGUCCUUCACCUGAACUAGUGUGGAAUAAAACAGGUGAAUCAUAAUCACUGCAAGUCUGAGCUGCUCCACACUGCCCCCUACUGUUUAAACAACUGAUUCUCACUGACACAAAAAUCUAGGAUUAUGUUUGUCCUUUACAGUGAGAAUGUGGAAAAAAGAAUACACCCAAUAAACAUUUGUUUUAUAACAUAUUAUUUUUUUAAAGGUCUGUCAGUGGAAC